CCAGGAUCUAAAGGGAGGAUAAAGGGUGGAGAGUAUACCUACCUCUCGGAUUUUUUUUAAGUAUACCUAUUGUUAUCUCUUCACUUUCUUUUUUAUCGCAGGGCAAAAAAGAAUGCUCUUUUUCUUUUUCUUUUGUUUUCUCCUUUUAGAGGAUAGAAAGCAAAAAAAGAGAGUUAGAGAGGGGGGCGUUUCCCCUCUUUUUCUCUCUCUCUUUCUCUCUCUCCUUUUCUCUGUUCAGUGUGAUUUCCAGAUACUGCCAACACGCCGCCGUCGACUUGAGUUGCGCGAAGACGAACUGACAGACUUCCACCAACAAUGGGAACCUGGGCGGUUUGAGCAGCUCGUGAAAUCCCCACCCUUCCCCUCCAGCUCUCUCCUGCUGCACGCCGUCGAGCGGAGGAUGAGGGGGAUGGGAGGCAGGAGAGAAGGUGGAGGGGAGUGACCGCUUGCUCCCGUCUCGACCACGGGUAUUCUUGGGUUGAUAAUACAGAUGUCGAUGUUAUUGCUUGAGAAUACGCGUAGCUGAGCGGAAGCCAUCUUCAUCAGAUGUGUUUUCACCCUGAUGUGGACAGCUGCAGUGGUUGUGGUAAUCCUCACCCAAAGUCCUGCUUGUUGUCCCCUCUUCUUCCUCCCCCUCAGUCCUUCCUCUUCCUCUAUACAGCAUCCUCCUCUCUGCCUCUCUGCAGGAAGUCAGGAAAUGACUGCAUGGAAUAGCUACUCACCUCAGCUGACCCAUAUCUACAGCAAUAAAUAAAAAGUCUAAACCAACUGGAAUUGUGUUAAAAGAGGCUGGAGGCCGACCCAGGGUUCAUCAGAGAACUGCGGCUCACUGGCAUCGUGGGGUCAUCAAGUAACAACCAUCAGACGCCAUCUAUACAUCAACCAGUUAUUUCAACUCACCAGGUUUCAUUUUAGCAGCACAUUUUUGUUUCAGCUUUAGACAUCCUAUUUUGAAAAAUAGUUGUUUUAGUCAUGUUUUAUUAUUUGUUGUCUUUUAGUUUUAGUCAAGUACAUUUAUAAUAAAUGUAGCAGACUAAACUAUAAGCUCAUGGAGGAAUGGAUUUGGAGUGUAUGUUACAUCUUUAAGGAAAAUCAGUUCUUCAUACCUGUGUGAAAUAUUUAUCCAGGAGGAAAUGGAAUUAAAGUUACAAAGAGAGAGUGAUUUACUUGUUAUUUGAGCCAACCUUUAUAAAAUGUUACUUUUUCAAGUGGAAUUGUAUACAGAAUACACACAUUGAUCAAAAAAUUAAACAAUGUAAAUAAAAUGUAACAAUCUGAAACAUCAUGAUAACAUUUAUCCUUUCAAAAGCUAAAAUGUCCAGGGUUUUUUAAUUUAAUUGUACAAGCAAUAUUAAAAUUAGGUUUGUUUGAUCAGAAUAAAUUCAAUGUUUACAGUUUAUGAAAUAUGAACACUUUUUCCAUGUAACUGCUAAAUAUAUCAUUUCAUUCACUUCCUACUGUUUAAGAUUAAGUCUCACUGGCUAUUUUCCAAACUUAUCCCACCUUUAUACAUGACUAAAACAAGACUUUACUGGCCUUUAACCCCCUUCAACAUUUAGUCUCACUUUUACUAGUUGAAAUUUUUAUUUUAUCAUAGUUUUAGUCAUUCAGAAUUUUUUGUUACUUUUAGUGUAUUUGUCAGCAGGAAAAAAUGGUUGUUGAUGAAAGGCACCAUGAAAAUCCAUUGUUAACAAAGCUAACAUUGGGACUGUGUGAUGUUGUGAGGUUACACCAAAAUUGAGCUUUUGGGCAACAAGCACUUCAGGUGGGUUUGGCAUGAAACAAAUGAAGAAUGUUUGGAUAAGCAGACAUGCCCAAUGUGAAGUAUGUGUGAUGCUGUGGGUCUGUUUCUCUUCCAAAGGUCCUGGUAACUUUGGAUGUAUUCACAUUGCUGGUCCAAUCCAGGGAUCAUUCCAGGCAUCGGUGAAGUGAGAAAGUUCACACCUUCAUUUGGCACAGUGCGCCAUUACGCAGAGAUUUUUAGAUUGGACCAAUUAAUGUCGUGCAGUUGCAACGAAAUUGUUCGUGGGCGGCAUCACUCCAGUAUUGCACUGAUCGAGAAGAAAAAAAGUACGAAGAUGAAAGUCCGUCUCAUCAGGGUUUCUGUUGUUACUUCUGUGCUUAAAUGUAGAUAUGUGCCUGCACUACUGUAAUACUCUAUGUAGCCCCACGAGACAUUUACAAACCCUUACAUCUUCAGAUUCCCGCUCUCACUAUGUUUUUGUUCUUCUAGUCAAAUGCGUUGUUCUUACAUCACAUUGCAUGGUACACUGGGAACAGCACAGGUUUACACUACAAGCGAACCAAGCCGAGACCGGCAGUUGUAACAGUGCCCGGGUACGUUCUCUGGUCAGUUCCAGGGUCCGGGAUCGGUUCGCACCGGCAUCUAGAAACCAGACUCUGGCAUGGUACAAGUGUUUCACAGAUUUGGUGUGAAUAUUCUGUUUUUUACAAUCGAUGGCAUCAUGAAGUCUACACAUUAUUAAUAAAAAUCUGGUCCACUCUACCAGAGAACUGAAAAUGGGUCAUCAUUGGUUCUAUCAAUAGGAUAAUGUUCAAAAGUAAGUUAAAUAUACACCUAAAGGGUUUGAAGAGAAGACCCAGAACUGUGGAUGAUCUAGAGAGUUUGUGCAAAGAGGAAAGAUCCCUCUCUGUGUAAGCUUCACACUUGUGAAAUGAAAUGAGAAACAUGACUUCUGUCGUAUUUACAGAAGAUAGUUUUACAAAGCAUUGAAAGCAGGGGUAGUAAUAUUUGUGCCACCAGUGACUUUUUUAAAUUAUUA